rnacentral:rRNA from 1 species
GACGAACCGUACGAACGUUAUUCGGAAUUACUGGGCUUAAAGGGUGCGUAGGCGGCGCGGAAAGUAGGGUGUGAAAUCCCUCGGCUCAACCGAGGAACUGCGCUCUAAACUACCGUGCUCGAGGGAGAUAGAGGUGAGCGGAACUGAGGGUGGAGCGGUGAAAUGCGUUGAUAUCCUCAGGAACACCGGUGGCGAAAGCGGCUCACUGGAUCUCUUCUGACGCUGAGGCACGAAAGCUAGGGGAGCAAACAGG